rnacentral:rRNA from 1 species
UGAGGAAUAUUGGUCAAUGGGCGAGAGCCUGAACCAGCCAAGUCGCGUGAGGGAAGACGGCCCUACGGGUUGUAAACCUCUUUUGUCGGGGGAGCAAAGACUGCCACGUGUGGCAGGAUGAGAGUACCCGAAGAAAAAGCAUCGGCUAACUCCGUGCCAGCAGCCGCGGUAAUACGGAGGAUGCGAGCGUUAUCCGGAUUUAUUGGGUUUAAAGGGUGCGCAGGCGGACCGGAAAGUCAGCGGUAAAAAUGCGGGGCUCAACCCCGUCGAGCCGUUGCAAACUGUCAGGUCGUAGAGUGAGUGAGAAGUAUGCGGAAUGCGUAGUGUAGCGGUGAAAUGCAUAGAUAUUACGCAGAACUCCGAUUGCGAAGGCAGCAUACCGGCGCUCAACUGACGCUCAGGCACGAAAGCGUGGGUAUCGAACAGGAUUAGAUACC